UUUCUCUAAAGUAGAAAACCUCAAGAUGACAUGAACAUGGCCCAUUCCGGGGAUAUGGUAUAUGAAUUCACCAUUCUAAAAGUACUUGUAAAAUAUUUAUCAAUUUUCUCUGAAGUAGAAAGUGAAGUUAAAGAAGCCUAGGAGUUUGCCAGAUAAGAAUAAUGGAGGAAGAGAAGCUGUGGAUGCAUUAUUGAUAUUGUUGAAUAUUGUGCCCUUAAAGAUUGAGAAGAACAGGGACAUUUUAGAGGAGUGGGGGCUUCAUGGGUUAGCGUGAAUAUGCUCUGCCACUUGAUAAAAUGGUAGUACCAUGACUAUCCCAGAAUUACUAGGAGUAUGACAUCUGACUGUGUUUUCUUGAUUGAAAAAUAGGCCAUUAAAUGUUAAAAUAAAUGAAUAAAAAGGGCAAAUCACUUCCCACCAUAGGUUGAGUCAACGUCUGAGUGUUCAUACAGCCUCAAAACCAAGUUGCAGGUAACGUACCAUAGAGUGAUAGGUGUGUUGAAUUUUGACUUAGUAUUUGCUGGAAUUUGAAUUUUGAAUAUUGCAGCUGGAGUCUUGCACAAAAUCUACAACAUCUAGAUAUUUUCUUAUUUUUAUUUGGUCAAGAUUUGGUUUCUAUUUUAUAGGAAGUAGUUGUUCAUCAUCUAGUAGCUUGAUUUUCUGCUAUUCUAAUGUCAUUUAAGUUACAAGUUCAUGUAUAAAUUCAGCAUUCUUCAUCAAUAAAAAAAGGAGUUCCAGCAGCCCAAAAAUAUAUUUUUUGUAUAAGUAUUUAAUCUUAUACCAACAAAGUGGUAUCAGAGCCAUAGUUAUCUUGAGGGGCCAGUGAGGUGAGAACCCAAACACCUUCUAAAAUCAUUUAGCAAUGGAAGAGUCAAGUUUCACAGUUGCACCAUCAGUUCUUGAUGGAGACAAUUAUGAAACUUGGGCUGUUAGAAUGACAGUUCAUCUACAAGCACUUGAUGUUUGGGAAGCAGUGGAAGAAAAUUAUGAAGUUCCUCCCCUAGGGAGCCAAUCCACCUGUGGCUCAAAUGAAGUUGCAUAAAGAAAGAAGGACAAGAAAGGCUAAAGCGAAAGCUUGCUUGUUUGCUGCAGUUUCACCAUCAAUUUUCAUCAAAAUCAUGAAAAUUGAUUCAGCUGCAGAAAUUUGGGAGUAUCUCAAGGAGGAAUACAAAGGAGAUGAAAGAAUCAAGAACAUGCAGGUGAUGAACUUGAUUCGAGAAUUUGAAAUGAAGAAAAUGAGGGAGUCUGAUGCUGUUAAAGACUAUGCUGCACAACUUCUUUCAAUAGCAGACAAAGUUAGGCUGCUUGGAAAAGAAUUUUCCAAUGAGAAGAUUGUUCAAAAGAUAUUGGUUACACUUCCUGAGAAAUAUGAAGCUACAAUUUCCUCUUUGGAGAAUUCAAAAGAUCUGUCAACUAUUAGCUUGACAGAAUUAUUACAUUCCUUGGAGGCUGUGGAACAAAGAAGACUCAUGAGACAAGGAGAUACUGCAGAAGGAGCAUUUCAAGCAAGAAUGCAGAAAAAUGCAGGCCAUAAAAAUGAAAAGAUGAACAACAACAAGCCAUGCAGCAACAACCAGAAAAAUGGAGUUUUUCCACCUUGUCCCUCAUUGCAAGAAGACAAAUCAUUCUCCACAAAAAUGUUGGUGGAGACCAGAUGUGAAAUGCAACAAGUGUGGUAAACAAGGACAUGUGGAGAGGAUUUGCAAAAAUCAACAACAGGAAGAAACUAGUGCAGCAGUUGACUAUUGCCAGGAGGAGCAAUUGUUUGCAGCAACAUGUUUUGCUAAUAAAAGCACCUCUGAAAGCUGGCUUGUGGAUAGUGGUUGUACAAAUCACAUGACAAAUAAUCAAGAUCUCUUUAGAGAACUUGACAGAACAACUAUUUCCAAAGUCAGAAUUGGAAAUGGUGAGUAUAUUCCAGUGAAGGGCAAAGGAACCGUUGCAAUCGAAAGCCAAACAGGUUUGAAACUCAUUUAUGAUGUUUUGUUUGUGCCUGACAUUGACCAAAACUUACUCAGUGUUGGACAGCUCGUUGAGAAAGAAUUUAAAGUUUAUUUUGAAGAUAGGAAUUGCAUUAUCAAGGAUGCUGAAGGCAAAGAGGUGUUCAACAUAAAAAUGAAGGGCAAGAGUUUUGCCUUGAAUUUACUGGAAGAUGAGCAUACUGCUAUUUUACAACAAGAUAGCACAACAAUGUUUUGGGACAGAAGGGUCGAGCACUUUCAUCAUGAUGAUGUGCUCUACAUGAAGAAAAAUCAAAUAGUUGAAGGACUUCCUGACUUAGAAAAAGAUCUUCCUAUAUGUGCUACUUGUCAAUAUGGGAAGCAAACUAAACUUCCCUUUCCAAAGAAAAUAUCCUGGAGAGCAACCCAAAAACUGCAACUGGUGCAUACUGAUGUUGGUGGAUCUCAAAAAAUGCCAUCCUUGAAAUGGAAUGCAAACAAUGUUUGGUGGAUCUCAAAAAAUGCCAUCCUUGAAAUGGAAUGCAAACAAUUUUGGGCUAAAACUGCAAGUAGAGCAGUAUAUUUUCUGAACAUAUUGCCAACAAAAGUGUUAAAGAAGCAGACCCCUUUCGAAGUUUGGUUUGAGUAUCUACGUGCAAGACUUGGAGUUUGCAUCUACGAAGUCAAGGAGGAGUGUUGAAUUUUGACUUAGUAUUUGCUGGAAUUUGAAUUUUGAAUAUUGCAGCUGGAGUCUUGCACAAAAUCUACAACAUCUAGAUAUUUUCUUAUUUUUAUUUGGUCAAGAUUUGGUUUCUAUUUUAUAGGAAGUAGUUGUUCAUCAUCUAGUAGCUUGAUUUUCUGCUAUUCUAAUGUCAUUUAAGUUACAAGUUCAUGUAUAAAUUCAGCAUUCUUCAUCAAUAAAAAAAGGAGUUCCAGCAGCCCAAAAAUAUAUUUUUUGUAUAAGUAUUUAAUCUUAUACCAACAAGGUGGAACAAAUCCAUCGACUGUGUGAAGAGGUUGCUGCUUUCUGAUCCUUUUCACCAACUCCAUCAAUAUCCAAUGCAAUUCAUCCUCUGUUUUGUUUCUUCUUUGUGGCAAAGGAUGUAUAAUCAGAAAACUAAGAGGAACACAAGCUU
rnacentral:lncRNA from 1 species